rnacentral:tRNA from 1 species
GGAGUGGAAGUCGAGUUCGAGUCGAAUUGAAGUUGAGGGGCAUACAUUUCCCAAAAUGAGGCGGUUUCGGGAGUCCGCACUGGAAAUGCCGUAACCGGCGUCACCCGGUUCGCGAGUUCGAAUCUCGCCCGCUCCGCCA